UACGGGGGGGGCAAGCGUUGUUCGGAAUUCCUGGGCGUAAAGGGCUCGUAGGCGGCCAACUCAGUCAGACGUGAAAUCCCUCGGCUUAACCGGGGAACUGCGUCUGAUACUGGAUGGCUUGAGAUUGGGAGAGGGAUGCGGAAUUCCAGGUGUAGCGGUGAAAUGCGUAGAGAUCGGGAGGAACACCAGUGGCGAAGGCGGCUACCUGGACCAGCACGGACACUGAGGCACGAAAGCUAGGGGAGCAAACAGG
rnacentral:rRNA from 1 species